UAGCGUUGUCCGGAAUCAUUGGGCGUAAAGCGCGUGUAGGCGGUCCGGUAAGUCCGCUGUGAAAGUCGGGGGCUCAACCCUCGGAUGCCGGUGGAUACUGUCGGGCUUGAGUACGGAAGAGGCGAGUGGAAUUCCUGGUGUAGCGGUGAAAUGCGCAGAUAUCAGGAGGAACACCAAUUGCGAAGGCAGCUCGCUGGGACGUUACUGACGCUGAGACGCGAAAGCGUGGGGAGCAAACAGG
rnacentral:rRNA from 1 species